UUGGACAUCGGCGUGGUGCCCCACCCAAUCAGGACGGCUACCAGACCAUGGGCAGCUCUAGCCACAAGGAGGGUGGCUUUACAAUGUUGGGGUUGUGUGGUCCAGCUUGGCUGCUGUUCACCCUCCAGAUGCCACCCAGACACUAGGUCACAAGGACUCUGAGGUUCCCCAAAGUCUGAGUGUUCUGCUCCCAGCCUACUUUUAGGUGGCGAGGACUGGGGUGUAGCAGUAGAGGGAAGCUAAAAGAAUAGGUAGUCCUGUGUCUCAUCGUGAACUGGCUUUCCGAAGAUCAUGACUAACUGCGUCCACCACGGCAUUGCGCUCUGUUCUGAGGUACCGCAAUGAGAAAGUGCCUUUGUGUAAAGCUCCCAGGAAGAGUGGCGCAUCAAUCAGAAGCAGGCACCCAAGCCACCUCAAGGUGACCAAGAAACAGAAAAUCCCGUUUGGCCAAGGGCAGGAGAACACAGAGCUCUGAGCUUUGUCAGAGUUUGCCAUGAGAAACAGCAUGGCGAGUCUACUAAAUCGAUACAGAAUUGAAUGUAGGGUCUUGAACACAUGUCUACACUCAUUCCCAUAGCUCAAGGAGGGAGAGUGAUCAGUGUCUAUGGACAGGCAAGUGGGUGAGCAAGGACGCAUCUGUGCAGGGGUAUGAUUCAGUCUCAAGGAGGAAAGAAACUGUGACACAUGCUAUCUGGAUGAAGCUGAUGACUUAAUGCUACCCAGAUUACACCAGUCACAAAAGGAAAGAGCUAUUCCUCAGCAGAUUCCUUCUCCCCUCCCUGUGCCCAGUUGUUUCAGAGAGCCUCGCAGAAGCAAACACAAGUAAGAGCAGAGGGAAGAGGGAGAAGUCACAGCCCAGAAGGACAUCUAGAGCCCAGUCAGAAUAAGAAGCCUCAAAGGAUGCUUCAGGCCUCUGUCUCCCAGCACCAGCAGGCAGCCUGAAAAUUGGGUUAGAGCAAGGGGCAAAUUAUGGCUAUUAAAAAAGACAUUGUUGUGAGCCAUGU